UUGCUCCUUUGACGUUAGCGGCGGACGGGUGAGUAACACGUGGGUAACCUACCUAUAAGACUGGGAUAACUUCGGGAAACCGGAGCUAAUACCGGAUAACAUUUGGAACCGCAUGGUUCUAAAGUGAAAGAUGGUUUUGCUAUCACUUAUAGAUGGACCCGCGCCGUAUUAGCUAGUUGGUAAGGUAACGGCUUACCAAGGCGACGAUACGUAGCCGACCUGAGAGGGUGAUCGGCCACACUGGAACUGAGACACGGUCCAGACUCCUACGGGAGGCAGCAGUAGGGAAUCUUCCGCAAUGGGCGAAAGCCUGACGGAGCAACGCCGCGUGAGUGAUGAAGGGUUUCGGCUCGUAAAACUCUGUUAUUAGGGAAGAACAAAUGUGUAAGUAACUGUGCACGUCUUGACGGUACCUAAUCAGAAAGCCACGGCUAACUACGUGCCAGCAGCCGCGGUAAUACGUAGGUGGCAAGCGUUAUCCGGAAUUAUUGGGCGUAAAGCGCGCGUAGGCGGUUUCUUAAGUCUGAUGUGAAAGCCCACGGCUCAACCGUGGAGGGUCAUUGGAAACUGGGAAACUUGAGUGCAGAAGAGGAAAGUGGAAUUCCAUGUGUAGCGGUGAAAUGCGCAGAGAUAUGGAGGAACACCAGUGGCGAAGGCGACUUUCUGGUCUGUAACUGACGCUGAUGUGCGAAAGCGUGGGGAUCAAACAGGAUUAGAUACCCUGGUAGUCCACGCCGUAAACGAUGAGUGCUAAGUGUUAGGGGGUUUCCGCCCCUUAGUGCUGCAGCUAACGCAUUAAGCACUCCGCCUGGGGAGUACGACCGCAAGGUUGAAACUCAAAGGAAUUGACGGGGACCCGCACAAGCGGUGGAGCAUGUGGUUUAAUUCGAAGCAACGCGAAGAACCUUACCAAAUCUUGACAUCCUUUGAAAACUCUAGAGAUAGAGCCUUCCCCUUCGGGGGACAAAGUGACAGGUGGUGCAUGGUUGUCGUCAGCUCGUGUCGUGAGAUGUUGGGUUAAGUCCCGCAACGAGCGCAACCCUUAAGCUUAGUUGCCAUCAUUAAGUUGGGCACUCUAGGUUGACUGCCGGUGACAAACCGGAGGAAGGUGGGGAUGACGUCAAAUCAUCAUGCCCCUUAUGAUUUGGGCUACACACGUGCUACAAUGGACAAUACAAAGGGCAGCUAAACCGCGAGGUCAUGCAAAUCCCAUAAAGUUGUUCUCAGUUCGGAUUGUAGUCUGCAACUCGACUACAUGAAGCUGGAAUCGCUAGUAAUCGUAGAUCAGCAUGCUACGGUGAAUACGUUCCCGGGUCUUGUACACACCGCCCGUCACACCACGAGAG
rnacentral:rRNA from 1 species